GCUUACACAUGCAGUCGAGCGGGCGUAGCAAUACGUCAGCGGCAGACGGGUGAGUAACGCGUGGGAACGUACCUUUUGGUUCGGAACAACACAGGGAAACUUGUGCUAAUACCGGAUAAGCCCUUACGGGGAAAGAUUUAUCGCCGAAAGAUCGGCCCGCGUCUGAUUAGCUAGUUGGUGAGGUAAUGGCUCACCAAGGCGACGAUCAGUAGCUGGUCUGAGAGGAUGAUCAGCCACAUUGGGACUGAG
rnacentral:rRNA from 1 species